CUCUGCCCUGAAUUAUGGUAUUAAUUACCAUAAAGUAACAAGACAUAGGGCAACUGAUGCAACAAACUGAACCAAGAUUCUUUGGGAAGGGAAAGCACAUUUAGGUCCAUGGGCUUUGCAAGAAGUGAGGCUAUGCAAAAUGUUGCCUACUGAACACUGAAGAACUCUGGAAUUUUAUUUUUUAUUUUUAAAGCAUAGCAGUGGAGGAUCACGGCACCUUUUGUGGAGUGGAGCGCAUCUCCAGACAGUGAUGGAAGGGAGGAGAUCUCAUCCUCCCACCUGUGCCAGCAGUCACAGGAUCGCCUGCAGUCCCAAGCAAUCCCACAAGAGUGCCAGAGGGAUGGAGUCAGGCCCAGGCCUUGAAAAGUCCCCAGCCUCCCUAGCUCUGCCCUCUUUCUUCAUGCUCUAGUUUCUCACCCACCCACCCUUGGUUUUAGGGGGUCAACUGAGCUGUUUUAUAACUGGGUCCCUGGUUGACGGGGCCAGAUAGGAAUUUUUCCUCUCAAUUAAUCUGGCCCCACUGUUGAGCAGGGUUUUUUUACCUAUCCCUCAGUGGUUCACUAUGCAAUUGUUAGGUAUUCACCUUACUUCGUCACAACUUAAGGUAGAAAUGGCAUUGGGUAGGAUCAAACAUGAGGAUCCCUAUAAGGGGUCCAGUGAGGUACUCAAUGGCCAAACCCCUAACUUGGGAGGGGCAUUGCAUCAUCCAGUUCACAACAUCCCCCUCACACACACACACAGUUCAAUAAGCAGAGCCACAGGUGCCUUGCGUUGAUGCCUGACCUGGGCCUAAUGCUGGCUAACUCCCAAGGGUAUUUCUCAACUGUUUAUUGGUUGACUUAGCAUUCCAUCAGCAUGGGCUGCCAGAAUGAAGCAGAUUCCCCUCCCUACUGCCAUGCCAACGCCGCUUUACUUGCCUUACUCAAUAAAGUUGUGGCCCUAUUUCAUCUAUAAA